GCCUGGGUGGCGGAAUAGGUAGACGCACAGGACUUAAAAUCCUGUGGACAUUUUGUCCGUGCGGGUUCGAUUCCCGCCCCAGGCA
rnacentral:tRNA from 1 species